rnacentral:rRNA from 1 species
UAGGGAAUCUUCCACAAUGGACGCAAGUCUGAUGGAGCAACGCCGCGUGAGUGAAGAAGGUCUUCGGAUCGUAAAGCUCUGUUGUUGGUGAAGAAGGAUAGAGGCAGUAACUGGUCUUUAUUUGACGGUAAUCAACCAGAAAGUCACGGCUAACUACGUGCCAGCAGCCGCGGUAAUACGUAGGUGGCAAGCGUUGUCCGGAUUUAUUGGGCGUAAAGCGAGCGCAGGCGGAAUGAUAAGUCUGAUGUGAAAGCCCACGGCUCAACCGUGGAACUGCAUCGGAAACUGUCAUUCUUGAGUGCAGAAGAGGAGAGUGGAACUCCAUGUGUAGCGGUGGAAUGCGUAGAUAUAUGGAAGAACACCAGUGGCGAAGGCGGCUCUCUGGUCUGCAACUGACGCUGAGGCUCGAAAGCAUGGGUAGCGAACAGGAUUAGAUACCCUGGUAGUCCAUGCCGUAAACGAUGAGCGCUAGGUGUUGGGGGCUUUCCGGUCCUCAGUGCCG